rnacentral:rRNA from 1 species
UACGGAGGGUGCAAGCGUUAUCCGGAUUCACUGGGUUUAAAGGGUGUGUAGGCGGAUUUUUAAGUCAGUGGUGAAAUCUCCGGGCUCAACCCGGAAACUGCCAUUGAUACUAUUAGUCUUGAAUUCUGUUGAGGUGGGCGGAAUACAUCAUGUAGCGGUGAAAUGCUUAGAUAUGAUGUAGAACACCGAUUGCGAAGGCAGCUCACUAAGCAGACAUUGACGCUGAGGCGCGAAAGCUAGGGGAGCAAACGGG